UGCAAGUCGAGCGGGGGAAGGUAGCUUGCUACCGGACCUAGCGGCGGACGGGUGAGUAAUGCUUAGGAAUCUGCCUAUUAGUGGGGGACAACAUCUCGAAAGGGAUGCUAAUACCGCAUACGUCCUACGGGAGAAAGCAGGGGAUCUUCGGACCUUGCGCUAAUAGAUGAGCCUAAGUCGGAUUAGCUAGUUGGUGGGGUAAAGGCCUACCAAGGCGACGAUCUGUAGCGGGUCUGAGAGGAUGAUCCGCCACACUGGGACUGAGACACGGCCCAGACUCCUACGGGAGGCAGCAGUGGGGAAUAUUGGACAAUGGGGGGAACCCUGAUCCAGCCAUGCCGCGUGUGUGAAGAAGGCCUUAUGGUUGUAAAGCACUUUAAGCGAGGAGGAGGCUACUUUAGUUAAUACCUAGAGAUAGUGGACGUUACUCGCAGAAUAAGCACCGGCUAACUCUGUGCCAGCAGCCGCGGUAAUACAGAGGGUGCGAGCGUUAAUCGGAUUUACUGGGCGUAAAGCGUGCGUAGGCGGCUUAUUAAGUCGGAUGUGAAAUCCCCGAGCUUAACUUGGGAAUUGCAUUCGAUACUGGUGAGCUAGAGUAUGGGAGAGGAUGGUAGAAUUCCAGGUGUAGCGGUGAAAUGCGUAGAGAUCUGGAGGAAUACCGAUGGCGAAGGCAGCCAUCUGGCCUAAUACUGACGCUGAGGUACGAAAGCAUGGGGAGCAAACAGGAUUAGAUACCCUGGUAGUCCAUGCCGUAAACGAUGUCUACUAGCCGUUGGGGCCUUUGAGGCUUUAGUGGCGCAGCUAACGCGAUAAGUAGACCGCCUGGGGAGUACGGUCGCAAGACUAAAACUCAAAUGAAUUGACGGGGGCCCGCACAAGCGGUGGAGCAUGUGGUUUAAUUCGAUGCAACGCGAAGAACCUUACCUGGCCUUGACAUAC
rnacentral:rRNA from 1 species